CUUACUCACUGGUCACUGUCACCUGUUGCAAUGGUGAUUGGCGAUAAUUGAUUCACAUAAGGAUAAGAAAGACGAGUGUUGCUUACUAAAAGCAAGUCCGACAUCUUUGAAUUAAAGAGAUAAAAAGAGGGUCUUCAUCUCGGUCCAUGUAUUUGAUGGUUUUAAAGUUUUAAGUUUGUGUGCCUUCAUCUAGCGUUUGUAUACAUUGCGCCUUAAAUUGUAAGCACCGAUCGCAACGCAGCGGGGGUUCCAUUUAGUUUUUAAUCAAUUAUCAAGAUUUUCAUUAUUAUAUCUAUAGUUUGACUA